UUUCUAAAUUGGCUGAACGUCAUAGCUAUGCAAUUAAAAUUUAUAUGGCAAAUUUUCUAUAGAACGAAGCACAUAUCUAUAUAUGUAUGUAUGUAUCUAGAUAAAUGUGCAUACAAGCGCCAUCACAGGCAAUAAAGCGUAUUUGAUCUCCAACAAUAAAAUAUAUUUUAUAGAUAUACAUACAUAUGUACAUAUAUAUGCUUGUGUGUACAUAUGCAUGAGAUGAUGUCACUGCAAUGUCAAUUUUUAUUCUAAUACAAAUUUUACAUCGCGUGAAUGCGUCCCAUUCGCAUUGAAUAUAUGGUACAUACCCUCGUAUAUGCAUGUAUGUAUGAAUACAUAUACAUACAUACAGUCGCUAUUUCACAUAUGUAUGUAUGAAUUUUCGUUGUCAUUUUAUAUUUUAUCCUGAGAUUCAAGAAAAUAACGGCGUAGUGAAUCGAAAUUUCUUUACUCUAUAUUCUACAUUACCUGGAGAGAUGCCGUAAAAUUGGCUAUAUAACUAAUCCUAUUUGAGACUUUUGCCUGUUUUAUUUUUAUAUUUACAACUAUCACUUUUUAUUUCAUGGCAAUUACCCUGAAUUCAAAAUGUUUAGUGCGCGAAAAUAAUAGUAAAAGAGCAAAACAAAUCGAUAUUUGUUGAGCGAAAUUAAACAACGCCUAAGUGUGGCGGAGAAAAUGGUGGCUGAAAUUCGCAAUAAAAGGUAGGACGUUAAGCAAUGGCGAACAUAAGGUCAAGGUGACUGGGAGCUAAUUUUGCGUGCACAGUUUUCCGUGAAAAAGAACACUGCAGACGCAAGAGUUACUGCAACAUUAUUUCGGGAAUCGGGAUGUACAUACAUAUACCUUUUAAGACAAGUGAAGGUAACAGAUAUUCGUGAAACGCAAAAUACAGGUUUUUCCAGUAAGAGUGAUAUGAUUUCUUUUCAACGAACUACUAAUUUUUAAGAAAAUUCUAAUGUUUUUUAUUCAAUGUGAAAUGCAAUCGAUAUGAUUAAGUUAUGAAUAUCAUCAUUCAAAUGGCCUCCACGACUUCUUUUGCAUUAACGAAUUCGAUGAACCCAAUUUUCAAGUACUUUUCCCACUAAAUCAAGUCGUAUGUCAUGAAUGUUCAAUAUUGACUUCAAAGAUUUGAAGAGAGUCUGGUUUAUUGCUAAAGACCAAUAACUUCAACUAACCCCACAAGAAGUAGUCUAAUGGUGCUAUAUCACAACUUCUUCGAGGUCAUUCAAUGUCAUAAUUUCCUGAAAUUAUCGAAUCUCCAAACCACCAGAAUAAAAACCACAUCAAACUGUCACUUUAGGCGAAUGUAAUGAUUGUUCAUGAAUAAUUUGUGGAUUUUGUUCUCGCGCACGAAAUAACGUCAUGCUUGCAUACAUCUUGCCAUGAUGAAAUUGUAAACAUUACUGAAUACAAUGAAAAAAAAUUACAGAUUGAGACAUAUUAAAAAUGACUGAAAUGACACUUAGAAAUCAUAUCAUCCCUAUUGGAAAACCCAAUAUAAGUAUAUACAUAGAAGGCUACAUCAAAAAUAAUUAAGCGCAAAGCUAUACAUACGUACAAUGUAUCUACAUUUAUUGUUAUUACGAUUCAAUCAAUUUUAAUAUUUUACCCAUUUGUAUCACCGUUGUUCGUACACAAUGCCACGGGGGAAAUUACGCACAUGUUCUAACAACCAAUGCGUUUUAAAAUUUAAAACUGCUGGAAUAUAAUGUAUAAUAUUUUAGUUUUCUAUUGGCAGUGACCAUGACCUAGACGAGAGCCGUGGGAAAAGUGCCAAUUGGGAAGCCAAUAGUAUGGUGUACCUAUAUUCUCUAAUUUUACAUAAUAUGUUUGCACAAACGUAUAUUUACCAUUUAUAUGUACAUACAUAUGGACAUAUGGUAUGUUUUCUAAUACAUAUAUCGAAUGUGUUGUGUUAAUUGCUAAGGAAUUAUUUCGCUUUAUUAUAAAUUUAAAAACUCUAAGUAAUACAAUUAUUAUUACGUUUCUGGAUAAGAAUACAUCUUAAUUUGAUUGAAUAUAUGUGUAUAUAAAUGUAUAUAAAUAUAGGUGAAAUUAGUUUUAAAGUAAUCGAAGUAAACAAUGGUUUUAUGAAUU